UACAGACGUUGAUAGCCUAUGAAGAUCAAGCGUCAUCUUCAUUUGGAGGGGUUGACAAGCUCGAUCAACACAUGUCAUUAUCCUAUUUGAGCUCCACUUCAUGUUUCUGCAAAUGCUGGUAAACUAUUAACCAGGAAUGGAUAUGAGGCAGCAGUCUCGAUUUGUCAUGUACAUAAUUUAUCAUUGUUAUAUUAGUUAUGCAGGGAGAUCGAAUGAAAGGGGUCAACCGUAUGAUCUUGCAUCGGCGAUGAGAACAUGAUAUUUAUGUUAGUGUAGUAGUAGACUUAAUUUGGAGGCCGGGGUGAUAAAAUUUUCAUGUUUCUGCAACUACGUACCUUGAAAACUUUAAAGAUGGUUUCCAUAUGUGUAGCCACUACAGUCCACGGAGAAUCAUAGCUCUGCAAUACAUUUACACAUUGAAGUCAAAACCUUAGAACAGCUUGCUAGUUUUGUUUCCGUUCUGGAAUGUUAGCCCUCCCGGCCCUGUCAAUUGUUUCACUCAGCUUGCCAUAAUUAAUGUGACUUGAUGAUUCUUUUUUAUAUUCUCGAUCUAUAUACUAAACGUGGGUUGCACUGUUUACCGUUCAUAAGAGCUACAGUGCCUCGGGGGUGGAAAAAGACUGUUCUGCCCUCCUCCUUCUUCUCUCGAUCUCUUCUAGAGCCCUCUACUGUCCUCACACCCGAGUCAAAAUCCACCUCAAAACCCAAAAAUCACCGCAAAAGAGAGCAACAGAGAGUUGUGAGCAGCAAGAACAGGACCAUAGCUUCAAAGCCAGAGCGGACCCAGAAGCUUCAAAACCAGAGCCGACCCAGACGAGCACAAAGCCACCAUCAUUGCUGCACAGUAGUGAAGAUUGACCUGGGAUUGACGACGAAGAGACUCUUUGGUUGAUCAUGAACUUGACUUGGUUUGUUUAAAUCUCGGACUCCUCCUCCUCCUCUGCAAAUCAGCUCAGAGAAAGAGGCGAGAUGAAAGAAAGGGAGAAAGAGAACCCGGGAAGAAGGAAGAGAAGGAGAAGAGACAAACCGGAAGCUCUUGACUAAAACAACACAAGUGGAAGUUUCGCAGCAGAAGAUAGUUUCUCUGUACGAGAGGUUCUGUCAGCUCGAUCACAGUGGCGGAGGUUUCAUCUUCGCCGACGAGUUUUUUGUCUGUACCGGAAUUCGCAGUCAAUCCUCUCUCUCAGUUUUGGCUGGGUGGACAUAGAUACUGGGGGAGAGAUGGAGCAAGACCAUACUUGCUCUCAGGAGAUGCUUCUGUAUCAACACCCAAUUUCCUUUUCUCAUCAGAGACAUUUGAUCAAACAACAAAGCUACUUAGUUUUGGGGUGACUUGCUCUUAGGAGAUGCUUCUGUAUCAACACCCAAUUUCCUUUUCUCAUCAGAGACAUUUGAUCAAACAACAAAGCUACUUAGUUUUGGGGUGAAUUCAGGAAAUAGGCUACUACGUCAAGAAUAAGCUAAUGGGUUCCAUCAUUCUUUUUGUGCAGAAAGAUAUUCAAGGGAGGAUUGGCAAAGAACAAGCGGUUCUUUGCUUUGCUCAGCUCACUGGCAUUGGUUACAAUUAGGAGUUCAAUUGCGUCUGAAUUUGGUUUGAAUGUUGGAGCUUUUGGGAUUAAUUUGGGUUUGUUUCUGUUGACAACCACAGAUGCAGAGAGGGAAACUCUAUGUUGGAUAUUAUGUGGCUGUGAAGGGGUUCUCUGCUUUGCUUAUCAGCAUUGAGACGAAGGAGCUGGUGAUAGUUUUUCUUGGAGAAAUUGAGCUCAUUUGAACAAAUAGGAAUAUCCGAUUGAGCUGGCACCCAUUUAAUCAAAUUGGGGGAUUUGAUUGAGCAAUCAGAGAUCUUUGAAGGAUUGAGCUCCGGUGUGAUUGUGGAAUCCCUGAAGGUGGUUAGCUUGCAAGGAUUUGCCUCAAUUUUGGAGCCUAACCUCUGCAGAAUUGCACGAUAUCGGCAUAUUGCUUUUGCUCCAGUCUGGCCAUGAGAAUGAGGUAUCAUUUAAUUGUGAAAGAAAGCUUUGGAGGAGAACAUAAUUGUGUAUCUGGAAACUGGUUGUGGAAAGACCUAAAUAGCCGUGUUGCUUAUGUAUGAACCAGUUGAUACUCAAACCUCAGAAGAACAUGUGUGCUAAAUCCUGAAGAUCUUUGUGGUAUAUAUGGAUCAAAUUGCUCCCAAUGGAUUAUUGCAAUGGAGUAUUAGAAAGAAUGUGGCUAUCAUGAAGCCUCAUGAAGCAGCCAAAUUAGUUGCAGAAUGAGAUUUUUCAUGUAAAAGGACACUCCCCUGAACUGAAAGAGUAAGCCAAUCUUAUCUUAGACUGAAGCAUUUUCUUUUUGGUAAUCACCUUUAUAAAGUAAAAUGUCCACAAAUCUACUUCAAAUUUCAUGUUAUUCUUAGACCUGCAAGACAUCGUGAGUCUCCAAGCUGAUAAACAAUCUUUAUCUUUCUUCAUGAUUGUCUUUCAAACUUCGAGUAUCGCAAACCUCAAAUUAAUUGAUUACUUUUGCAACUUAUUUAGAAAGUCUGGUUAGACUGCUUAUUUCACUUUUGUUGUUAUUGAUAAAAGUUGAGUUUGCAAUACACCUGUUACAAGUUUUUCGUCGUUUAUAUUGCCGGGCAUACCAUUGGAAGCAUGGUAGGAAAUGUCAUGGAAUUUUCUGGCUUCAGCCAUCCGAGACAAGUUCGUCUUAGCAGGAGUACAACAUUUCUUUGAUUCUGUUGGAAAGUCAAUCUCCAAUGAGAGUUUCAAGGCUUGAUGGAAUAGAGCCGUAGAGAGCGACAGAGAGAGCUAAGGAAACGACCUCGCAGCUUUCAAGUUUUGAGCUGCUUAACCAAAACAGAGCUUGCAGCGAUGGAGACAGAAACGACGGCGAUUCUAAUCGACCUGGAGACUAUACAAAUUUGGGUGCAACUGUGCAAAGAAGAUGGUUGUGAUAAAUUUAGGACCUAUUGAAUGUAUACCCUUUCAGAGGGAAGUAAAUCUGCUAGCUAAUCCAGAUAAGUAUGCUGAAUUCCCAAAUCAAUUGGCACAGUCAUUCAACUCCAAGCUAAGGACCAAUAUAAUGAGCCUUAGAAUCUUAUAAACCUAUCACCGAAAACCAAAUAAGCUAUAUGUCCAAUUUCAGUUCAAUCACACCAAUUUGGAUAUUGUGUUGAUUUGAAAGAAGGUGAUGAAGGGCUUUGUUAAUGAUUCUCUCUCUCUCUCUCUCUCUCUCUCUCUCUCUCUCU